rnacentral:rRNA from 1 species
UGGGGAAUAUUGGGCAAUGGGCGGAAGCCUGACCCAGCGACGCCGCGUGGGGGAAGAAGUCUUUCGGGAUGUAAACCCUUGUUGUACGGGACGAAGGAAGUGACGGUACCGUACGAGGAAGCCCCGGCAAACUACGUGCCAGCAGCCGCGGUAAUACCUAGGGGGCGAGCGUUGUCCGGAAUCACUGGGCGUAAAGCGCACGUAGGCGGGCUGUCAAGUCGGCCGUGAAAGGCAUGGGCUCAACCUGUGCAUGUCGGUCGAUACUGGCGGUCUGGAGUAUGGGAGAGGGAACUGGAAUUCCCGGUGUGGCGGGGAAAUGCGUAGAUAUCGGGAGGAACACCAGUGGCGAAGGCGGGUUCCUGGCCCAUGACUGACGCUGAGGUGCGAAAGCCGGGGG